UGCGUAGGCGGGUCUUUAAGUCAGGGGUGAAAUCCUGGAGCUCAACUCCAGAACUGCCUUUGAUACUGAGGAUCUUGAGUUCGGGAGAGGUGAGUGGAACUGUGAGUGUAGAGGUGAAAUUCGUAGAUAUUCGCAAGAACACCAGUGGCGAAGGCGGCUCACUGGCCCGAUACUGACGCUGAGGCACGAAAGCUGGGGAGCAAACA
rnacentral:rRNA from 1 species